GAGGAAAAACAGGAGAGCUUGGAAUAGGGCUGGGUAGCAGCGACAGUGACCCACUAGCUCUAUUGACUUUCAAUACCUUCUAAUGGGGGGCUCUUGAGUGAGAAGCAAGAGGCUUCUAAAUGCACUUGUCUUGCCCAGCUUUACAGGCACUAGCAACCCCUGGCAACCGACUGAGGACUCCAGCAUCUUCAGCAUUCAAAGGGCAAGGUCUAGAACCCAGGAACCAAAUGAAAAAUUGUACUUCGGGUCCAGAGCUUUGAGUUCUGUAAUCAGCUUGACUGAUUUGCUCCUAUAGUGAAUUCAGCUGGAAGGAGGGUUUGUGAAGGCGCCCAGCACACACCGGCUCCAGUCUCCGAUCAGCUGGCGGCGUGGUGACGCACGAGCUACGAAGGCAUCUCCCAGGGCCAAUCACCGCCUACUGCUGGGCAACGUGACCACACCCACUCGGGGGGCGCCAGCACCUCUGCUUACUCCCGCCCCUCCCGGCGUCUGGGCUCUGAUUGGCAAGGAGGCCACCCCCUCGCCCGGAGGAACUGCUCUAAGCCACGCCCAACAACUGACCAGCUGGCCAAUAGCUGAAAAGGUGUGGCUAGCCCUCGGCCUAGGCCACUCGCUUAGACCAGUUCUACGUCAAGCCACAGUUUAAAGAGCAGAAGGAAGUGAAGGCGUGUGCUUUUGCAGUGCAUCUUGGUCAAUGAAGUUCUUUAUGGUGACACUCGGCUUCCCAGAAUGCAGCGCGCUCUAGAACCUCAGAACUGAUUCACCAGCCUCCACAGAAGGCCUAAGUUAAAGAAAGGUGGAGCCCGAGAAGCAACAGGAGUGGGCAGAGCUGAAGAUGGAAGUCAGCCACCGAUGCAACCGAACU